GCUACUAUUGCUUAGAUAUUUAUUGAUAUUCCGAGCAACAGCCUUCUAAGCUGUGGGUCUUGGGUUCGAACCCCAACGGAAUCA
rnacentral:tRNA from 1 species